UCCACCUCAAAUCAAGUAGGACUACCCGCUGAACUUAA
rnacentral:rRNA from 1 species